rnacentral:rRNA from 1 species
AUUGAACGCUGGCGGCAUGCCUUACACAUGCAAGUCGAACGGCAGCACGGAGCUUGCUCUGGUGGCGAGUGGCGAACGGGUGUGUAAUAUAUCGGAACGUACCCAAGAGUGGGGGAUAACGUAGCGAAAGUUACGCUAAUACCGCAUACGAUCAAAGGAUGAAAGUGGGGGAUCGCAAGACCUCAUGCUCCUGGAGCGGCCGAUAUCUGAUUAGCUAGUUGGUGAGGUAAAGGCUCACCAAGGCAUCGAUCAGUAGCUGGUCUGAGAGGACGACCAGCCACACUGGAACUGAGACACGGCCCAGACUCCUACGGGAGGCAGCAGUGGGGAAUUUUGGACAAUGGGGGCAACCCUGAUCCAGCAAUGCCGCGUGAGUGAAGAAGGCCUUCGGGUUGUAAAGCUCUUUUGUCAGGGAAGAAACGGUGAAGGCUAAUAUCCUUUGCUAAUGACGGUACCUGAAGAAUAAGCACCGGCUAACUACGUGCCAGCCGCCGCCGUAACAC